AGAGCGAACGCUGGCGGCAGGCCUAAUACAUGCAAGUCGAACGGACCCUUCGGGGUUAGUGGCGGACGGGUGAGUAACACGUGGGAACGUGCCCUUUGGUUCGGAACAACUCAGGGAAACUUGAGCUAAUACCGAAUGUGCCCCCAUCCUUAAACAAGAUGGGUGGGAAAGAUUUAUCGCCAUUGGAGCGGCCCGCGUCUGAUUAGCUAGUUGGUGGGGUAAAGGCUCACCAAGGCUACGAUCAGUAGCUGGUCUGAGAGGAUGAUCAGCCACACUGGGACUGAGACACGGCCCAGACUCCUACGGGAGGCAGCAGUAGGGAAUCUUGCGCAAUGGGCGAAAGCCUGACGCAGCCAUGCCGCGUGAAUGAUGAAGGUCUUAGGAUUGUAAAAUUCUUUCAGCGGGGACGAUAAUGACGGUACCCGCAGAAGAAGCCCCGGCUAACUUCGUGCCAGCAGCCGC
rnacentral:rRNA from 1 species